CUGGACGCGCAGAGGCUGGGGAGCGGCAGCUAGGGAGGGCCUUUAAGGAGGAGGUGGGGGUGAGCGGAGGAGAGGCUAGGGAAGCAGAGGUUAGGGGAGGACGCUGGCUGCGGCAGUGGGGGCAGGAGCUGUUGCGGACUACUGAGGACUGUCAGACCCUCCCGCGGCCAGAGGUGAGACGGAUGCGGGCCACUCCGCCCCCUAGUGACCAAGAGACACUCCUCUCUCCCGGGAAGGGCUGCCGCUCCAGGCCAGCCUAGGAAGUUUAAGCCAGUACCCGCGAUGAGAGGCGAAGAGCAGACACUAAGACCUGUUGAAGUUUUCCGUAAAGCCUGGAGGAGCAGGUGUGAGCCAUAGACGGCUCCUGAGUGCUGGAAGGAGAGGGCCCAAGGGACUCAGGGGCCUUGGCCGCUCCUCGGAGUGAGGAAGAAGCAGCGCCGCAGAACCAGCGAGGAGGAGGGGCUGCCGCGAUAGCUUCUGCCUCCUCAGAGACUCAGACAGGAGGUGUUUGUCGGGAAGGCCACGGAGACCUCCCCUGAUUUCAGGGGGAUUCCGAGGAUCUUAUGUAGCCCUGACUGACCUUAAAUUCACUAUGUAGCUGAAGAUGACCUUGAAGUUUUGAUUCUUCAGCAGCAUCCCCCAGGUGCUGGGAUUGCCUGUGUGAGCCGCCUCGGUGCUGGGGAAAGUAAGCACUCUGAGGCAGGAUAGAAGGAUGGGGAAGUGUGGGCACAGAAGAAAGCAAAGGAGCCCCGCUGGGCGGAGCACUCACCAGCAGAGAGGGGAGGAUCCUGUACGAUCAGCACCUCUUACGGCCUUUCUCCCCCACCAGCUAUCGACCUUUGGCUUUUUAGGACUUUUACCAAAAACUUCAUUUAUAGAGAAAGGAUAUACUAAACUGCUUGAGAAACGUCGUCAAAUUAUAAUUGCAAACAAGACAUCUCCAUCACCACCACUCAUUUAUCCAGAAGCGAGAGGAACAGGGAAAAAGAACCCUUCCUUAGUAACCUCUGCACUGUAACUGGAAGGUGUGACCUGAAGAUGGUCCAUUGAAGAUGGUUCAUUGCGGAGUCCCCUGAGCACCUGGUGUGUCUUGCUUUCCUCCGCUCUCCCUGUAUGUCCUCACUGAAGUCUUCCUCUCUUUCUCCUAACCCUACGUGUAAUCCUAUAUUAAAGUAUCUUUAAUAAAAA